GUCACAGACUCAGGUCUUCAUAUUCCUAUUGCUCUGGUUGUCUGGUGCUGAUGGAGACAUUGUGAUGACCCAGUCUCCCAAAUCGAUGUCUACGUCAAUAGGAGACAGAAUCUCCAUGACCUGCAAGGCCAGUCAGAAUGCAGUGGAUCUGGGACAGAUUUCACUCUCACUAUCAGCAGUGUGCAGGCUGAAGACCUAUCCAUUUAUUUCUGUAAGCAGUAUAGCAGCUAUCCUCC